UUCUGGUGCCAGCUAGUCAAGUUCAAAUCUCAGCUUUGGCACUGAUGAUUUAUUAUCUUGAGUAAAUGGGUUAAACUCUUUGCACCUUUCCUUUCUCCUCUGUAAAAUAUAAUUAGCAGUAGUGUCUACUUCAAGGCUGUUACAAAGAUGGAGUAAGUUAAUAUUUAUAAAGCACUUAGUGGCUGGCGAUAGGAAGGGCUAUGUAAGUAUUUGAUAAAUAAGCAAUGAAGUUUGGAGAAGGCUCAUUGGAGCAAGGAGAGAGGGCGUAUUAGGAGAGCUGAGUCAUCUCAUUCCUUGUGAACACUAGCCUAGCACUGAGAAACAAGAAAUGGAAAUAUUUUCAUGUUUUUAAAUUUAUGAAGAGGUAAAUUAAAAUCAGAAAAGAUGAAAGAGAUUAGCCUUAGGAACAAGGACUGAACAUGGAGAGGGAUGAGGUGUGACAGUGUCUCUUUUUUAUUUAAAACACACAUACAUGCACACACAAAACACACACACACAGUCAAGCAUAAGACAAAGGCUAAGGCCUGACAGGUUCAACUGGUGAAGGAACAAUGAAACAUUUUUAGAUAAAGGUGGUUUGUUACUCAUACAAACAGCAGAAGGAAGAGUAGCCAAAAGAGCCAGCUCCCUGUGGCCCUUACCCAGGGUGACACCCCGACAGAAGGCCAUAUGACCGCAGCUUGAGUGCUAGGACCCCCUUGUUGCGGGGCUUUAAAUUCUGCUCUACCUUGAGCAGGGAGAUUGGAGGCUUCUCACUUCAUCAGAACUUGGGAGGAGCUGAGAAACAAUCUCAUGACAGCCUCACUAGGAAGGCAGGGAGGAAGAUGGCCUCCCAGGGGUUCUUCCCAGACCUCCUAUGUUCUUCUGUCCUGGGACAGUCACAGACACUCAGCCAAGACCUAGAUCCGUGGUUCAAGCCUUACCUGUAUGCACGACCCAUGUGUGUACAUGCAAGAUAGCCAUGGCCAUGAUAUGACACAUGCACAUGUGCACAAAACACUGUAUUUAUGACUGUAAAUAUUGGUCAUUUCAUGGUAACAGUCUUCCACAUGUGCAUGUAUAUAGGAUAUAGUAGCCUCACAUAUAGAGCAUGGUAUAUGGUAUCAAUCACCAUACAGAGCACAUGGUGGGGAGGCUUUCACGUCUAGGCUGAGUCACCUGGACCUGCAAGAGCAGGGCUAGAUGACCCUCAGCAGGCAGGGAGAGGGACUGGGGCUGACCAGUGUCUGAGAAAGAGAAGAAGUUUCAUCCUUACAACUUGAACAAUGAGAAAACUGUCCCAAGAGGUGACAUUUACAGCAAAAGUUCAGGAAAAAAGUAUAGAGCAGUAGAGCGGUUUGAAAAUAAAUAACAGAAAUUACUAAGCUAAUCUGGAAAUGAAUAAUGUAAGUAAACUAAUCUGGUUCACUUAAAAAUGCACGUUAUCCUUUGAAAGUGUCAUCGAAAAUGAUAACAGAUCAGUGGGGCAGAAGAGUCAACAGGGGUCCUUUAGAUGACUCAGUAUUAUUCUAAACCCUCAAAAUAAAACUAUUUCACAGAGAACAGAAAUUGGCAGAUGACUCUGUUUAGGAAAGAAGGAGUGAUGCGAUAUUGAAAGAAAAUUUUCUGAGCCUGAGCUUUUUAACCUCUAAGACUAGGAUUAGAAAUUGUACCCCUUUUAUGUCACAAGAGACCCAUGCUUUAGAGAAAAAAUGAGUAAGAUAAGUCUAUGCUCCCCUGGCCUGUGCCACCUCUCCUCAUCCCACACGACACAGGUCAUUGCCCAGCGGCAUCUGGGAGAUAGCUGUGGGGAUAAUGGGACAUGUUAUGGAAUAUUAGAAGCUAUCAAAAUGUUUGAUUCAAGAGUUUGGAAACUUUUCUUACUUUGGGGUAAUUUUUUUUUCAAUACAAAUAUUAUGAUCAGCUUUAUCACUUCAUAAAGAGCUGUUCUGGAGUUAAGGCUCUGACCCAAGUCAGUUGUGGGAUCUUACACAUUAUUUUCCUGCCUUAAACCUAAGUUACCUCAAAAAAGGUAAAAUGUGGUUGAUGACACAGUCUUUGCUGAGUUGUGAGAAUUAAAUGAGAUAAUGCAUUUAGAUGCUUGGCAUUGUGCUUAGCACUUGGCAGACAAUAAGUAGAGCUGUUAGAAGUACUGAUAUUAUUAGAAUGACCAUUUUUCCAUAUGACGGUCCCAGUAAAGAGGGAAAUUGAUAUGUGGAAUUGCCAAGGGCUGAACUGAACAAAUUCUUCUGAUGCUACAAAUAGUACAUGCUCAGUAUUUUCUCUUUAUCUUAAUGUGUCCUUACUCGUUGAUCUCUGCUAGCCCCUCAUGUCAAGGGGAGGCAGUCUGUGGCUCCAGUUUCCCUGAUGCAGACACUGACUGAGCCUGUGAUGUGCAAGUUUCAGUGAUGUGCCCUUGGCUAAAAGCCAGUAAAGAAAGGAGUAAUUCUCAUCCUCAGUCUUACCUUCAUUCUGCAACUUAAAAAUACCUCCUGUCACCUGAUAUUUCACUAAAUCCUUCUCCAAUAAAAACCUGUUUUUCUUCUGAUGAUAUUAUGCUUUUCUAUGAUGAAAGCAAUUUGCUUCAAAUUUGGCCAACUCUCCAAAGCCCUUACCAUAGCAGGCUGAAAACAGGAUUUCCUAAGGAGAGACAUUCAAAGUCACAACACUAGUAAAUAGUGAGAACAGGGUCCAGAUGGUCCAUGUUUUAUGGAAAUACCUUUUAAUGUACCACAUGGCUUCUUGGACAGACUCAUUAAUGUGUUUUUGUGUUUGUGUGUAUGUUUUUCCUGCCAUAAGUGUAAACAUGUCACAUAGGUCCACCUGUCUCUCCCACCAGAGUGGACGAGAGCCUCCUUAUCAGGCAUAUACAAUAUGUCCAGCAUCCCUGGAGAGUGGGUAUUCACCAUGCUAUAAUACACUCACACACACUGGCCAGCUCUUGUGAUAAAAUUCUCUUUAUAGCUAGAGUUGCUGCAGCCAUUUAGAUUUCCAAGCUCAUUAAAAAGGUACAGCAGGAAUUUUUUGCAGACUCCUGCCAAAUUGGCACAUAACUAGAGAUGCUAGUCUAAUACAGAUGCCCUAAACCCUAGAUGUUGCUCCUCAGGGGAGCUGGAGUGUAUAUUGGUGAAGUGAGAACUUUACUGCAAUCAUGUUAAGCAAAUAGUGGCAACAUCAACCCGUCAACAGAAGUCGUCAGGCUCAUGAGAAAUGAAAUAUUGUCUAAUUCAUCAAUCUAAAUAACCAUGGCCAUGGCUGGGCAGAUUGUAUAAACAAUCUCUCUCAGAUUGUAUAAAACCUCUCUCCUCCAUGAAAUAUUCACCUGUUGUCUGCUGCCAAAACCAAUAAACCACCUUCUUGGCUGAGUCAUCUAAACAUUUCCUUUGACAGCAGCAGCUUUCAACUCCAACUGCAAGGCCAAGUUGCAUGACAAAUAUACUAUUGGCCCUAUGUUUGGCUAUGAGUGCUGUUUUCUACCAGCCCAUUAAAAACAUGCCCUACUGUUGUGGAUGAAGCGCCAAUUGUCCUUGGAAAGCACAUUGAAAAGAACAAUGGAUCAUUUUUCUGUGGCUCUGUAACAUGUAGAUGGAUUUUGUUAAAAUAGCUUAGUGUUACAAAGCCAUGAAAUCAAACUUUCUCCUCCCCUCCAUAUGGCUUGCCCCAUCCAUAUGUAUGCACACACAGGCACAUGACAUUUCAUCUUCAAAUUCCUUGCAGGACAUUUGGUCUUGCCCAGAAUGUCCCUAAGACAUUUGGUUUGUGCCCAAACAUCUUUGAUAUUUGCAGGACCAUUUUGUCCCAUCCAAAAUGUCCAUAAGUCAUUUGGUUCAUGCCAAAAUUUCUUGAUACUUACAGGACAGUUUGGUCCUAUCCAAAUGUCUGUAAGACAGUUGGUCCAUGCCAAGAAGUUCUUGAGAUUUACAGGACAAUUUGGUCCUGUCUAAAUGUCCAUGGAGACAUUUGGUCAACACCAAAAGCUUCUUGAAAUUUGACCAGAUGUCAUAUGGACGUUUUGGACAGGACCAAAUUUCAAGGAAUUUUUGGCACUGACUAAAUGUCUAAUAGAUAUAUGUCAGCACUGAAGCAUAGAAAAAUAUUUGUCAGCGCUGUAGCACAGAGUUAGCAACACAUAUUUGUCUGCUAACUCUUUAAAUUGUGUGCUGGAGAUGGGGUUAAAUCCCAUAGGAUUUGUCCCAUGAUUAUUUUAUGCCCUGCUUGAUGUCCCUUUUUCUUUUGGGAUCCCUAUACUAAAAUGGUCUAUAAUUUAUAGACUGUAAAUCACCCAAAGUUUAUAUGACAUUUUUUAGAUUCUCUCAGCAAUGGCUCUAUGUAAGUUUGACAGAUUUCUAAAUGCACCCUCUGUGGAUAUGGCACAUCUGCAUUUCAGCACAAUUACAUUUUCCGUGUAGCUGAAUUGCGAGAAGAGUUAUCAAGUGCAUAGUUAGCAUGACUGGGACUGGUUAGUAGAAGACAUCUACUUCAACUUCAAUUGUGUGAAGUGGCCAGGUUGUGUUUUACCUUUCUUACACAAAUCAUAUCUAUAAUUAUUUGCAGUUAUUGAAAAUAGAACUUUUUUUCUUCAGUUUUUGGCUUCCAUGUGGCAUAUGGAGUUCCCAGGCAAGAAAUCAGAUCUGAGCCACAGUCACGACCCAAGCUGCCAGUGUGGCAAUGCUGGAUCCUUAACCCACUUUCCUGGACUGGGGAUCAAACCUGAGCCCCAGCACUCCCAAGAAGCCACCGAUCCAGUUGCGCCUCAACAGGAACUCCUAAAGUAGAACUUUUGCCAAACAAUCCAAGUGCAGAAUUUUGUUAGACUUUUUUAAAUGAAAAAAAUGCCAGUACUUCAUAAUCUUUUCUUUCAUUCUCAAUUUGAGAACAGUUUUUAAAUUAUGGGGUUCUUAUAAAAUAUCUAGCUUAUCUUUAUUACAUUCAUUAUAUUCAGCACUUUCUGUUCAUAAUGAUAUAUAAUUUUCGUUAUAUUCAAUCUUAGUAUGAUAACAGAUGUAAGUGAUAUAAAGAAUUUUUAAAAGUGCAGACAUAACAUGGAGUUCCCAUUGCGGCACAGCAGAAAAGAAUCUGACUAGGAACCACGAGGUUGUAGGUUCAAUCCCUGACCUCGCUCAGUGGGUUAAGGAUCCAGCGUUGCCAUGAGCUGUGGUGUAGGUCACAGACGUGGCUUGAUGCUGGCAUUGCUGUGGCUCUGGCGUAGGCAUAGCCGUAGCUUCAAUUAGACCCCUAACCUGGGAACCUCCAUAUGCCACAGGUGUGGC
rnacentral:lncRNA from 1 species